AAGCGCAUGGCGCAAGGUUUCUUGGUCGGAGAGCGAAAUUGCGCAAUCCAUUUUAAUCUCAGCCAUCGCGGAACGAAUAUCUUGGAAAACCAGUAGACACUCCAGUAAUAGGAAGCCAGUGGACACUCAAGUAGUACCUCUGCUAUAAAAUAGAUGUCGACAAUAAUCAAGUAAUUGAAUUAUAAAAAAUAAGUCAACUCUGGAAUGAGAAUCCUGUAUUAUCUUACUAGCUUGCUUGCUGCAGUAGACUUUUGCUUCAUUAACUAUCGUUUGCUGAUGAACCACAAUUAAGGAUGGCAACCCAUAAGAGACGAUAUCUGCUAAGGGAUCAAAAAGACUUUUCUGGAAACUGAAUUUAUU